GAGCAAAGUUGGAUUCUAAUCUGAACUUUGAGGACAGAAUCUUGUCUCUUCUUGUUUGUUGUGACAUGUAAUUUCUUUCUCAUUUGCUGCUCUUUUCUUGGUUAUCUGCAGGACAAAGGAUUCUGAACCUCAAAUAGAACUGCAGAUGGAAAUGGACUAUGAGGGUCCAUUUCUCUCUACUCCAUCAGAAGUGCUUGCUGCUUCCCUUCUGUGUCAUGGAGUCACAGUUGUAUGUGUAGAGUUGCCUUUAAACACAGAUGCCGGAUGCUUCGGAAGUGAUGGAUUGAGGUGCACACAUAAUGACCUGUUCCAGUCAGAAACUGAGAGCCUCAGAAGGAGUUGCCAACCAGAUCUAUAGAAUGAGACCAGCAAGGAAACUCACUACCAAGAGAGCAGAUGAGCAUAAGCCUUCCCUGCCAGAUGGUUACCUGCCCAGUGCCUCCACCAGCAUGUUCAAACCACACCAGCUUCAUCUGCGUUCUUUACCUGGGUAUGAUGGUAGGUAGGCCAUAUUUAUGAUCAUUCCUGAAAGAGCAUUUCUGAGCUGAAGAGAUUUUUGAAGAACUCUGUGAAGACUCCACUUUGUAUUAAUAGUACUGUACAUGCAGAGAUUGUGCUUUGUGGUAUUUUCACUGAUUUUUUUAUUAGGAAGAUGCCAGGACUUACUAAUUACUGUCCUUUCUUGAAUCUGUUGGCACUUUAUAUAUACAGUGUCACAGACUGAAGGCUAUCAAGUCAGAUAAGUUCUGUCCUGUUCUGCCUGCCUUAAUGCCUUUGUUGUUGUUGUUAUUAUUAUUAUUAUUAUUAUUAUUAUUAUUAUUAUUAUUUUACUGCUGGUCAUGUUAUUCUUCAUCACUGCUUAUCAUCUUAUAUAACAGCUGUAUUGCUCUGGCUGGCAGAAUAGAGGGCCUCAUGUUCCUAUGUGCCAUUUAUCUCUGCUGAUAUUUUGUGAGUGAUGAAAGCCACCAUAAAUGUGUAUUUGUUUUCUUUGUAUGAUGAAUCCCUGCUUCUCCACAAAAGUCUUGUGCUCAUGGUGUUCACUAUUUAACAAAGUGAGUCAGGAUACAGUUAACAGCUGUGUGACUGACUGCUUGCUAGAGUAGAUAAGUAAAUACUGAUCCUUCAAUUUUCUACUUUCUCUGCCCUGAUAUUCUUAUACUGCAAUCUCCUGGCGCUUCUAGGAACAUUAUUGAUGAGGGAACACUUCAAUUCCUUUCAAAAGCAGUGCAUAUAAUUGAGAGUACAGAAUCAAGAGCUGUGGGUUUUUAGAGUUUAUAAAAAGUGUAGGGAUUGAUUAAAAACAGAUUCUGUUCAGGUCUAUGUGGAUGUUGCAAAAUAAAGAGAAAAAUCACAGAGUUGCUGAGAAUCCCAGGUACUUCUAGAAAUGAAAAAUAGAGAAGAAGGUCAAAAUGGAUGAACGUAGUUGAAAAGAUUAACCUCCCCCAGACACCCCAGCCCACCCACCAGAGAACACAGCCGUUUUGGGCUUUGCAAGGACCACAUGCAGCAACUGCAGUGAGCCUGUUCUCCUUUCAGGCAAGCCCUGAAAUUCCUGGGCUUGAUGAACAGUAUUAUGAAUGUAGCUCUACUGAGAGACAGUAAAGAACACGUCUCACUGAAGAUGUGGAAUAGCACACUGAAUCAACAAAUAGGCUUCUGACUAACUGGAAGCAGUGGGGCAGAUUCUCAUUUGUUGCUCACUUAAAUAAAUCCAUGAGUAUCAAGAAUCAAGUUGUGUUUCCCAGUGGUACUGCUUCAUGAAAGGGUAUUCUAUAUCCCAAGCGUUGGGGACAUUUUGGGGGAAUGUACCUUUUCUGCAAAGCAUUUUCCAAGUUUUGGUGGCUCCAGGAUUUGUGAGAGCUCAUAUUUAUGAGUCAGUUCUCACUGCUGGCCAUCAUAAAUUAAAAAAAUAUCACAACAUCAGUUUUUGUUUCCUGGACCAACUGUGUUGUAUUGGUCUAAGUAAUAACAUUCUUUAUUCUUAAGCUAAGAGCAUUUUGUUUAUGUAUUCUCUCCGCAAGGGAAAAUAUACUUCUGCUAUCGCUGCAAAGCACAAGGGACAGUUAAAUCUAAUAAGUUAAUCUAGACUCCUAGAAACAAAAUUAAAUUUUCAAAUAAAGGCAAACUGACAGCUAAGGCAUAAAUCUUUUAUUUAAAGUAGAAAAUAAGCCCAUUCAAAUGCAAUCAGAGAAGACAGAUGUAGGUAAAAACAAGUAGAGAUAGGAUAUAUGGUGCAUAAAUUUGCUGUGUCUGUAUGAUAGAUCAAACAGAGUGACCUUAAAAAUGUUCCUAAAACAUCAGCUAAAAUAUGAAAUUUGCAUAUAUUUAAAUACUGCUUGUUAAUGGAAGAUGGACUAGAAAGGAUGUUAACACUGAAAGUAAAAUACAGCACAGGUGUAAAGUGUGCAACAGAAAGGUCACAUUAGCCAUCAAAGUGCCUGAAAUGUAAAUAUUUACUAGCUUGGAGCUGGCAGCAGGUUCUAUUAAUAAGAAAUAUUACUUUCCACUGUUUAAUAUAUCUUCUCUGGUAAAAUAUUUAUCUGAAAAAAAAUCUUGAUUCAGCAACAUUUAUAAUUAACUAAAUGUUUAACAUCAUACAUCCUCUUAGAUCCAAAUUACCUUAAUGGGACUACUCAGAGGUAAGAGAGGCACACCUCUCUGAAAGAUGUUAUCAAGAUCACAGAUAAGGUUACUAUGAAAUUUUGCCUGUCUUUGGAUUGGUGAAAGGAGGUGUUUAUACUCAGAUUUCUCAAGUAUUUUUCUUUCCUUCUGGGUGCAAAUCCACAGUAGAUUGUUGGGUUUUCUUAGGUGUGGUAUCAGAUUGCUCCUUGGAAGGUGGCAUCUAUAGCCUAUUCAGGAGAGAGAACAUAACCUGCCUGAGGUUUCUUGAUUCCUGCUCUUUCAUUCUCUCCUGGAUACCUAUUCCUCUGUCACCCCAUCAUCACAGCAGGACAUAAGCCAUGCUGCUUCCCAGUAUAGGAUGUGUUUUGAUCCAGUCCUCACAGGUGUUUGCUGAAAGAAUCUGUCUGUUUUGAUCAUAUUCUCAGAAUGGGAAUAUCUCCAACUAUGUAGGCAACAGCACGGGUGCCUCUCAUUCAGCUCUGGUCUCCUUAUAGAGUUUGAGACUGUCUGGUCCAUCUGGUCGUCCCUAGAAGUACAUCAUAAUUAUCUCCUGGUUAGUAAAUCUGGGUUUUCUAGAGAUUUCCACUGUAAUUGGAUCAGUCAUUAAUGUAGCCCAGAUUUCUCACAGUAUUCUGCUGAGAUUACAUCUGUUCCAAUACCGUGACCCAGUUAGAGCCCAAUAUCUUUGUGAAUAUGAAAAAGAAAAUUGGCUAGUAGAAUGUUGCAUGUAUUUUGACAUAUCAAUGCAGUUGAAGAAAUGCAGUUAAUUCUGAUAGUAUCAUCUAGCCUCAGAGAAUAGUGUGUGGAUGUGCAAAUGACUCUAGCUCUCUAAAUGUGGACAUAGUUACCAAUAGGUGCAGGGGGAUGUAUCCUUUCAAUUUGCCUGUUUGAUGUUUUGUUCUGUUGUUUUGUUAGCUUGUUAAUGCUCUUUUCUGUGGGCUUUGUGAAAAAUUUACUUUUAAAGUGAUAGAAUUCUGAAAGAUCUUUUUUGUAUUCACUUCUAUGAAGAGUGUAAGUUCUUUCGGUCAUUGAUUAGUGACAAAUGCCAUCUAUGGAGAAAUUCUCUUAAUCUUUGGGAUGUCUCUUUUGAAGGUCACUUCCAUUUAUUAAAAGAUUGCAACUGUACACUUGAAUAUUUCAUGAAUUGUCGGUAUUGUUUCUGGCUUUUGCAAUACUUCUCUAUAGGAAAAAAAAAAAAACCACAAAGGUCAGAUAACAGAUUUUUAAAAAGUUAUCCAGAAAGCUACAUACUGACCUAAUAAUAUGUUGUCAUAGGUCAAAUUGGAUUGUUUCUGUCACAUCUGUAUUGCAUAACACCAGAUAAAUUGAGGCGUGAGAAGAUGUAUAUGGUGCAAUAUAGGAAUACGGCUUUCACACUGACAGUCAGCUACUUGUGGUUGGUAGAGUUGUGUGUGUAGACCUCUGAGAACAUCUACAAACACAUAAGGUGAAAAUACAAAAAUAAACAAUAGCAAAUAGCCAGAGGGGCUUGCAAUGAAUUUGUCUAGAGAAGAUUAAGCACUUGAUUCCCUUGAAUGUGUGGCGUGCUACAGGUCUGGAGUCACUUUUCUUUGCUCUCAAUUGCUGAGGAGUGUCAUGGUCUGAAGAAGGUGGAAUUUGGUGCAUAAUAAAAAACAUAAGUCUCUCACUGUUCCUUGCUGAGGGCUCCUCCUGCACAAGGCAGGGGUCUGUCAUUCAAUAGCAAAGUUCCUAGACUCAGUCUUCACUGAUGGUCUGUGUUUAGCUGUGUUAGGUUUGCAGUCUCACCCUGCGGGGAAUAGAAUGUUGAAGAGAAGGUCCUUCACACUGAGGGAUUACUAAAUCCAGGUCAUCUACAAAAGAUUUGGUCUGCAAUAGAGACUUUUCUAUAUUUUGUUAUAAUAAAACAUGCCUUGGCAGGAGACGUUUUAGAAAUACUAUUUUUAAGAACACAACAUUAGAGUAAAAUACUAAAUUUGCCCUCUACUCCUCUACUCCCACCACUCUGGAAGUUGAACUCUGCUGCCAGGAGUCUAUAAACUUCAUUCACAUGCUUUUUUCUUUAAACACUGACUUGGAACAUACGGCUGCUUUUUAGGCUGGUUGGAGUUAUACAAUCAUUAGAACUUGCUUAUUUGGGGCAAUGAGGCUCCUUUGUUUGCAGAAGGCCUGAUCAAAAAAAAGAUGAGCUGUUCCAGCAUGGUCUUUCUAUAGAUUAGCCACAGUAGAGUACAUGUAUAGGAGCAGCCAAAAUACAUGUAGACAAUUAGCUUUUCUACCAGAGACUAGUUUUGUUAACAUUCCCUUGAUUUGACAGCUGGAAUAGAUGAAUGUCAUUGCUGACCUUUUCAAUUUUACAGCUUCUUCACUUUCAUAAUUCUAACUCCUGCAGCUGCAGCAUGGAAAUGAACUUUAAUAAUGUUCCCCAAACUCUUGAAAAUGCAUUAGUUACAGUUAAAUUUUGUAAUACUCUAAACAAUAAGGAUCUUUUAUAUCACUGCUUCUUAAACUACGAAGUAAUUAUUAGCAAUUAAAAGAGCUGGACAUUUCCCGACUGCUUUCAUGGAGCAGAUCUGAACAAUCAGACAUUAGGUAUCCACUUUUCAUUAUGAUUUAUGAUGACUGAAAAAAUUAUUCUGCCCUGAGUUUUAAUUAUUGCUGGAAGAUAUUCUCUGGGUUCUUCUAUUAAUGUCUUUCAUUUACUUUUAGAGGGUCAAAUGCUGUUCACUUUAUUGAUAUGAAUAAUUCCACCGGAGCUAAUAAAAGUAAACAGAGAGCAGAAAAUAGUUAUACAGUCUAAAUUCAAGAGGUGCAAUUGUUUGACAUGGUGUGACAAUGUAAUGUUGUUUGAAAUGGGACUCUGCUGUUUUUAACUUAGUUAAUUAUACACUAACAUAAACAUAGAUUGUGCCCAAAUUCAAGGUAAAGAAAGGAAAAGGUUAGAGGGAAUAAUACAGCCACUGUAGAGAAUGUGAGGCUAAAUAACUUGUAUUUAAAAGUAUUAUCACAGGUCUUUUAGUCAGAUAUGUAAUGUGAUGACUAGUCCAGUUUUAACUAUCCAGAUUUAAAGCUAAAGGAUUUAAAAAUUGGGAAGCAAGGUGCAAUUGUGUAACAUAUUGAGGCCAACCUUAGAAACUGCUGGAAUCCAAAUUGUUGGUGAUGUUACUUGAUGGGCUCUAGGGUAAACUUGAGCCUAUUAGUGACUGUGUCUGCAGGACUUGUGGAGAAGCUCCCCAGUAAAAACCUCCUGCCAGACAGCCUGAUCCAAGGGGAAUCCUGGUAAAGUUCACAGUGUAUUAACCACUUUUUAAUAUAUUCUUACAGUCCUUUUGAAAGGCUUAUUUCAAAGCUCUCGUGUAGCUAAUGGUUUGAGCCUCUUCUGAGAGUUCAAAUAUCCUAAUGAGAUUAACUCAUUAAAUAACUGCCCAUCACUUAGUUGCUGAUACUCUGGUUCAUUUGUUGCACUGGGAAGAGAGUGUAGCCCGUGCAAAUGUAGACUAUUUCUCUUUGAAUGUUUUUAAAUUAUUACAUUUUCCAUCCCAGUAUCCUUUUCUAUCAUGUAAGUAGAUUGGACUGUGCAGUAACGGUCUUUCUCCCUCCAGGCUGCUUGGGCAAAGGUGACAGGUUUUGCCACCAUGAUGUUAUCUCCUUAUUUAGGAUUGAGACUUAAGCCUCCCUGUGACUAAUUAAGUAGUUGUCUCUCAGGGAUGUACUUGUCAGUGCUCACACAACCAGAAUGGCACAGACUUCUUCCACAGAACCAGAGAAGGUAAAAAAUAAAAUAACAUCACCUUGAAUUUUACAAAUUAACCAAAAACAAUAAGGGAAGGGAAAACAGUAAGGGACGUGAAUAAUAAUAAAAAGCAAAAACCACGGCAGGUAACACAGGCUACUGCUAAACUUGCAUACUAGUUGUACGCAGUUGUUAUUGCUCACUUUAAGAUAGGUAGGGUGAAUCUUGCUCUUGCUACCUUGUUUGUAUACCAGUGGUCAGGGGAAGCCCAGGAGUCAGUGGUUCUUUGGAGAAGAGCCAGAAGGGAACUUGUUUUUGGAAAGGCUUGUGUGGGUAGCAGAUGAGCUUGGCACAGAACUGGUCAGCAGAACAGCCGGGAAGAAUCUGGGCAGCGUGACCUGGCUUGGCUGCUGCACUAUGCUGGUUGCUCCAGUUUUAAGAAAUAAAUGCUGUGUCCCUGGACAAAGCCCACAGAUAAUGCCAAGGCCAGGAGAUUCCUCUGAAGAACUUGCUGGCAGCUUGAGAUUUUACCUUUAAUAGACCUGGAGAUUCCAAGCACGCUCGCUUACAGAAGUGCUACAAAGAAACAAAUGGCAGUAGCUGUGUAUAAUCAGCAAGUUCGUUCAUAGAUCUUAAGAUAUAAAACAUUAUCAGAUGUUAUGCUUUAAAGAAAUGUGAUGCAAUUUGUCUUAUGGUCUGUGCUUCUCAAGUGUUUGUCUACACUAAAUCUUCAUGGUUGUUUUUUUCCAAGAGCUCUGAUUUCUAGGAACUUGAAGGAUGCUCUUUAAAACUUGUCAGUGGCAUGAGUCUGUCCUGCUUUCCAUAUUUUUUGGUGAAAUUUCAAUUCUUCUUUCAAUUCUUUUGGUGAGCAAAGCUGGCUGAAAAUUAUGCAUUUGAAGAUACAAUGUGAAAGUCUUGACUACUGGUGGAGUGAAAAUAUAAUCAAAAUCUGCAAUUCAUUUUUUCCUGUUUCCAACCCAUUCUAUGGUUGGUUGAAAUAUUUAAAAUAAUGAAUUUUUGACAGCUAAAUUAGGAUAGAAAGUAAAGAAAAAGGGAAAUGUUGUCUUUUUGCAUGCAUUGGCUGUGUUUACCGGCCAUCUCUAGAGGGAGACCAAAUUGUUCUUAACUGGCUGCACUAGGACUCAGUAUAUGCUCAUCUCUAUGAUUAAAACCAUCCAAACUACUGAACCUACUGAAGGAGACCCUUCUUAGAUUUGGGGCUUUGGUGUUUUUUGUUGUUGAUUUGUGUUGCUUUUUUGUUUGUUUGUUUGUUCUGUUUUUCUUAGUUGUGUUUUUUAUUAUUUUUGAAUCAAAUAAGUCUUUUGAAAAAACAAAACAAAACAAUGCAUUAUUAACAUAGCUUUACUAUUUGCUCAGUCAAACUUUUAGACAUAUUGUUUGAUAUAGAUUACAGGACAGCCUUGACUGAGACCCUUAGUAUCCUAUACUGGAGCACACAUUACAUGCAAUUUUACUAUUUUUUUGUAUUGUAGGGUAAAUUGUUGUGCUGUAGAACUGUCCUCCACAUACUUGGAAUGUAAUAACUCCAAUGAAAAAGUGGAAAUGCCUCAAAUUCCUAACCGUUCUACUUGUUUAGGCCCAUUCAGAUGAAAUGGCAGUCAACAUCUGUCCAGAUGCAGUAGCAUUUGUAAUUGAAACAAAAUAGAGAGCAGCAAUACUUCACUGCUAAUUUUUACUGGCUGCAGUCUUCCUUCAAAGGCAGCAGAAGGAAAUGGAAAAGGAGGGAAAGUGCCGAAGUCACAUCUGUACCUAACUGUGACUAACAUUAUCUUUUAUGUUAGAUCAUUAGCAUACCCAGGAAAAAAACACUGGUGUUUGGUGCCAGCUGUCUGCUUAUUACAGCAAAGGAACUGGGAGAAGACACUGGGAAUGAAAUAAGCACUUAAAGGGAUACCGUACUUUUGCAUUAUUAAGGUCUUUAGGUAUUACCAGCAUUGCUUUGGGCAGGAGGCAUCUUGGUGUGGAGCUGGGAAGCAUGGGGUAAUGUCUUAGUACCACUCAGUUGUAACUUGCAGAACCUGCUGCCAAAGGGAGCCAAAGGCAGAUGCAACACUUUGUCAGAGUGUUCCAUGCCAGCAGUGGUUAUAAAGUGGUAUGGGCUGGUGAGGAAUGGAGAGAGGCCAUCAGUGGCUCACCUAUGGAUUGAUUAUUGCAGAAGAGACAUUUUGGCCAUCUGGGUCAGUGGACAGAGAGCCUGAUGUGCACAAAUACCUUGCUAAUUUAAGCAAAGGCAAAAAAAAAAAAAAAAAAAAAUUGAAUGAAGAGGGUAAAAGUGGUAGUAAGACUCGGGAUGUGCCCUGGCAGUGGGCAUCCCAGUAUAGCAUUUGGUUUGUUCAGUGAAGAAACUCGUUAAGCCCAAAGUUUGAUCAAUAUUUAAUGCAAGAGAUUGUGUUUUGAUGCUGGUUUAAAACAAAGUAGUGAAUGUGUACUCUUAUCUCUGUGCUUUUCACAGAUAUGAAUGAUGGCAGAUUUUAAUAUUACAUUCAAAGUUACAGAGGUAAAGAAUGUGUGCAGUAUAGGAUGCAGCCCAUGAUGUGGGAUGUGCUUGAGAAGUGCAUAAUAAUAAGAUCUUAUGUUAACAGCCUAAACCAUUGACUAUAUCUGCUUUGGUAUGAAGAACAGCACCACUGACUGAACUUACAUUCACAUUGUAGCUGAAGUCAGGAACAGAUUCACCACAUGACUGUUUUUAGCCGAGCAGCUUCUGAAUUAUGUGUCUUUAAUUGCUUCAGAUUCCUGUUAUUGAUCUCUCAUGUCAAAAUAAUUGAACUUUAUGGCCAAAUUCUGAUGCUUAUUGAGAAAUCAUAUAAUUACUUCCAACCAUCUGUGAGUCAAUAAAAGUUGAGUACAUACCACUACUCAGAUUGCUUGAUGCAAACAUUUCUCUCCAAGUAACCACAAGAUCUACAAUACAUUAAUAAAUCUAGCAAAGCACAGUUGUAGGUUGCAUAAUUGUAUCUCCUAAUACUUGUAAUAAUAUAAAUAUGUUAUGCAUUAGUAGAUAAAAUACCCCUACUUCAACCCCAACCCUGCAACACAGGGAGAGUGCUGUGCCUGCAGAGAGCCACCAGCACAGGUGCAGCACUGUGCUGACAUGCACAGCAGGAAUCAAAAUCUUUGUGGCCAAGCAAACACUACAAAGUACUGGGAACCAGCGUGUUUUAUCACACUGAGGCUGAUGGGGACACGUCCUAGAAGUUCACACCUGUCUAGAAAAUCCUAUUCCACGUAUCUCUUUUUUUUUUUAGCUUUGCCUUUACUGGUUUGUUUACACCAAUGAACUGUCUGGAGCCUGUAUCCUUGCUCUUCUUCAAAGAGAGUGUUAGAGUAGACGUGCACAUGCAGUGUCUUCUUCAAAAACCUCAUACUUCUACCAUUUCACAAAACCCCAACAUUUUUGUUGCCUACAGGAUGGUGAAAAUUAAACAGUUCUAAUGCUUUUGAACAAGCUCCUUAAGAAGUGCCCUGAUAACCUGAAGCUUUUUUCUAGAAUGGUUUCGUGAAGAAUUUUCACACCUCAUUGCUGAUGGUAAUAGACUACAUAGUGUCACACACACACACAGCUGGCAAGAUACUUACUUGAGUGAUAAAAAAUGUUUUAUGUGAAGGUAAUGAAAGCUUUGUCUUGCCUACUUGAAUAGCUUUAGCUGCCAAUUUCUAGACCAAAUCCUAUCUGAGAAAGGACAUUAGCUUUACUGCAUCUUGUUUCCUAUGUAAUCAUUAUGCUGCUAGCACUGGUUUUAUUCACUCCUGUAUUUCUUUUAAUAUUGUUUUAGUAAUUCUCCUUCCUUAUGAGGAAGGGAGCAUUAAUCAGCCAAGGCAUUUAGCACCUAUUUACAUUAAUAUAUAGACAAUGCAGUGAUUUAGAAUUCUUUACACCUUUCUGCAGCUUUUUCACUAGAUUUCUUAAUGCCUUGAGGAUGCCUUUCCUCAUGACACUUUACAACAAACCUUUGCAAAAUGAAUAGCUUUCAUUAUGAAAUCAAUGAUAUUCCUUCUAAACUUCAGGGGCAAUGUCAAAGAAAAGCUACUCUAAUUGCUAAUGCUGAGAAGUUUUUAUGACCAAACUCUACUUUCCAGAUGUCAGAGCAAUGCAGUCAUCACCUUCUUCAGCACUUUUGCCCUCCCUUGUCACCGUGGUUCUCUUUCUCAAUAAUGUGAUUGUCAGCUAUGGCUUUUUCUAUUCUUACUUCUUUACUCUGCUUUCUGUUCUGAUUCAACCUUAAAGCUACCCUUUUCAGCAGAAACAGUCUGAAGUCUACAGUUGUGACUCUGCAUAGCAGGAACCUCUGACCACUGGCCUCUUCUGAAGCAUAAUUAUACAGGCAAAUUCUAAUUCUGAAGCAUAGGAAGUAGUUAAGAACUUGCACGUUUAUUUUAAUUCCAGAUUUAUAUUUUGACAUUUAUUUUUAGGAAGCUCAACUGUACAGACACAAAAUAGUGGCUGUGAUCAGCCCAGUAUUGGCUGGUCUGGGUUAGUGGGCAGAGUGCCUGUUAUUGCAUAUAAACAUGUUGCUAAUAUGGGGAAAAAAACAAAGAGGGUAAAGAUAGUAGUACUGCCUCUGCUACUGAUACAGCCCUUGUAGCCCUUGUUCUUACACAGCUUAAGAAAGCUACAAUACUGUAACAUGGAAAUUCUGCUUUGCAUGUCUAUAGGAAACGUAGACUCAUAGGUUUGAUCAAAGGCUUAUAAACUAAUAGGUUAGAAGUACUUGGCAUCUGUUCAUCAAAUGCAGGUAGUGUUUGGUCCAACAAAUGCAAGUCUCUCUUGGAGAGACAAGAGUUUUGUCUACUUCCAUUUUUGAAGUUAAUACUUACAUUUACCGCUGAAUUACAAGAAAAUGCAACUGAAAUCCUAAAAAUUUGUCAGCGCUUUGAUAUUCUAUUGAUUGAAACCAGUUUAACUUGUUUCAUCCCUUUUUAGUACAGAAAUAGACAUGUGAGUCAUUAAUUUGUUUGCCCUCUUUGAGGCUGUUGAAAUGUAAAAGAGAUGAGUUAGCAGCCCUUGGCAGUGGGGGCAUUGAUGGAGAUGCUGACAGACUUUAUUUAUAGUGUGGCUGCACUACCAGGCAUUACUAUAGUACAAUUCAAUCAGGGAAGUUACUUUGAUUUCUUCAAGUAAUAGCUGUAGUUAAACAGCUUUCUAAAGCUCCUUGUAUCACCACAGUGCUUAGAUGAUUGAAUUUUUAUCAUAACAAAAGUAUCAUAGCAGUGGUUAUCCUUAAGCUCUGUUUCACCUCAGAGGCAUAGAAUUGUCUUAUCUCAUUCCCCGUCUUAACUACUUUCAAUGUACUGACAAGCACAACUGACCAAUUAAUAGAACAUUUUCUAGUCUUAUCUCAUUCGUUAUCCAUGAUGCUCUUCCAUGUUGUAAUUACUUUUCAAUUUUUCAUGACCCAAAACAGUAGAUGUACACAGUGAAUACAAAUAGCAAAUUGAUUAAAUGUAACAUGCAUUGUAGCACCGAAGAGAUUGUCAUUUGUUAUUAACGAGAGAGAUUUGUCAGGUUCUUCUGAAAAGGCUUGUGACACACAGCAAUCCAGACCGAAUAACUGCAAGACUGCAGCUGACCUUCAGCUCAUUAAUUGUAUGCAAGUAAAAUCGGGAAGACACACGAUUUUCAAGACAAUUUCAAAUUUCUCUAUUUCCCUUUUUUGGUGCCAUCUCAACAUUUUAAAGAUUAAUUUCAAAAAACACAAGUCAGGUUAUCAGGUAAUUUUGUGCUAAAUGCGGGGGGGGUGGUGGUGGGGGCAUUGUAAGGCACUGAAUUUCAAGGCCAAAGCCAUUUUGUUGGUGGUAAAACACUGAUUCUUACACAGAUGAAACUGAGGCCUUUGCCUGAGCCAUUGUGGCCAGCAGCUCAGUAGUCAGAGAGCUCGUGCAAGAAGUGCAAAAAAGUGGUGUUCAGGUGUUUCUGCCUGAUUUUAUCAACACACAAAAUAUAUGCUUUUCCUUUCUCAUCCUUACUGUGCCAGCUAGCUGUCAGUUAACAGACUGCUCCAAAGCCUUGUUGAAUUGCUCCUGAUCAAGUUGGUUCAUUUUACAUAAGUUAAGUAUCCAUUGACUAUGCACUGGGGAAAGUAUUUUGGUGUAGCAGGGAGAGUUUAUCAUUUUGAGAAAUCUCUUUCUUGCCAACACUUGACAAGAAGUUUAUUUGAAAUCCAAAAGCUUUUUGUGAAAUGAGAAGUUUUCUUCACUGUACCGAGAACGUCAUUGAAUUUGUUAAUGAACAGCAAAGGAAGGUUCAAAAAUGAAAAUGGCAAUGCAGGAAAUUAUUUCCCAUUCUUGAACCAAGGGAGGUCUUGUUCCUUUGGUUCCAUCAAAUCCGUAGCACUCCCUUUGGAUACAGAUAGUCUUUGUUACAGUUGAAUAGCUCCAACAGCAUCAAAUAAGCUUUGCAUCUGCUAAAGCCUGCCUCCUGGUCAGCUUGUUCUAGCCAUGGGCCAUACUCAAUUUUGAAUUACAAAAAUAGGUUUUCUUUCAAAUUAUAUGUUACAGUGUGAACAUGUAUUAUUUACCUAAGUUUAACAAAUUAACUGGAGAUCAAACUGUGCAAACCUUGCUAUUCAAUUUCUCAGAAUUCUGCUUUCAUAAAGGAAUAUAGGGAUUUUAUGGGCAUCUUCUAAAACAAAAUUUUUGAUCAUAAAGCAUCUGAAGCAUUAAAUACAAUGUUAUGAACUUGUUAUACAUCUCAAGGUGAGGAGAAUCUUUGAAAUGUAUCCUGAAAUUAGAGACUAUAUUUGCAUAAUUUAUACACUGAGUAUUCAUAAAAAUGACUACAAUUGAAAAUCACCUGUCAUCAAAAGUAAAAGCACAGAAACAAUGGCCAAGACUGAGGCAGGGAAAUAGUGUUAUGGAUGUUAUUUCCUAAAUAUUUUCUAAGGAACGGUUUCUACCAGUUACUGAGGAAAUUAAGGAAAAGUGACAAAGCAACAAUCAUUUCCAAGUAAUAGUUCUUUUUUCUUUUCAUUAUCUGUGCUGUCUGCCCUCAGAUCUCCUGCAUUGUUCAGAUUUCAAAACAUUUCCUGUUGUAAUAGACAAGCAAGAGACAUUCCACAUGGUAAGGAGGAGAGCUCUGCUCCUGCAGCAGUCUUACCUGGGGCAGCUCUGGAGUCUGCUGCUAGAUGCUGGCCCUGAAUAGCCAGGGGAGUCUUCAUUACUUAGGGAUAAUUUUUCUAGGCUCAGAACUUGGCUUGGGUAAACCUGUGAAAACUGGGCUGUAAUUUAAUUGUAACGAGCUGCUUAUUCUAUUUGUUUUCUUUUCUUGCCUCCUGACUUCCUUAGCAGGACAGGAUUACUACCACUUGCCUUUGGAGCCACUUCUGGCUCAUCUGGUUCUUCCUCUCUGCCCUGUUCCUGCCAAAGGUUGUUUCAGGAGCACCUGUUUCAUCUUCUGCAAGGAUCUCAUAAUUGAGCAUGGGUCCUGAGUAGGAUUUACACACUUCCUCUGGAAACACAGGAAGCUUGUGUCAGUUCUGACUCUUUCACAGACACAUGUCAGCUUGUCAGGGACUAUUGUUUAUUAAUAAUUUAACAGAGGAAACCUGACAGGAUUGGUCUCUUGGUGAUACAACAAUAUGAAUAUUUAAUAAUGACAUGAUGAUACAUUUCUAUUAACACAGCUGGCAUUCUGCACUUAAGAAUGAUGGGAUAAUAGUUCUCUUUAUGACUACACAGUGAUUAAUCUAUUUAUGUAAUAGGUGAAUGUUCAAAGCUACAGUAAACAGUACAGAAAAGGCAGUGUAUUAUGACCAAAGUGGCAGAAAUCCCCAGUGAUUUUCCCAUAAAGUACUGGUAUUUGUGGACUGUGAAAGGUCUAUUUUCUCUGAGUUAGAUCUUUGCCUGUGCCAGUUGCGUGUACCCUCUCCUACUGCUUAUUCAUACUUUACUAGCCUGAAGAGAAACGAAAUAGAAGCUCUUUCUUUGCCAUGCAGUUAAUUAGCUGCUGGGGCAUUCUCUUCAAUGAUUCAAGUGCACUCUGUCCAAGAGGUUAGUCUGACCCUGCUCAUCAUCACAUAGCAUCAGUGUUGAUGGUUGCUGCUUUUUACCUAUUGAAAACUCAUCUUUCAGUACUUGGGUGCCAGUAUGGACUGACAUGACUCUAUCCUGUACAGGAUUUCACUUCUCCAGUGAGUACGUCUCUUUUAAAUCAUAGAAUCAUAGAAUCCUUUGAGUUGGAAGGGACCCUUAAAGGUCAUCUAAUUCAACUCCAAAUCUGAAUGGCAAUUCUACUGAGUUUUAAACUGCUCAUUUAUAGCUUUAUGACAAAGAAACAGCAAAGGAGUCAUGCAAGAAUUUAAGCUAAGGAUGGACAAAAAGAAUCAGAAAGCAUAGGGACACUCCAUCAUAACUCCUAAAUAACUCCUAAACUUUUUGUGGAAUGCAAACAUCUCCCUAGGCUGCGUAGAGAAAGGGAAAGAGGAGUCUGAUUGCCAGCAGCUCAGUCUUCCUCCUCCUCUUACUUGCUCUGGCAGGUGACAGGAGGAAGGCUCAGCAGCACAGUUCAUAAGUACCUGCCCCAUUGCAUCUCUUCCAAAGUCCUUAAAAUAUCACCUGGGGAAAGUCCAUUAACCUGAUUCCACUUUAGAAAAGAGAGGAAGAUUAUAAGUUGUUCCACUGACUGCUGUGGGAGACUUUAUGGAACAGGAUAUAGAUUGCUAAAAUUAAGGAAUCUUAAACUCCCCAAAAUUACUGGGAGGAAGAGAAAAAACAAACUUUGUCGUUCUCUUUCUCUCUUUUCCAUUUAUUAGCAUUUUCUUACGUAUAAAGUUGUGCAGUUGACAUGAACAGGAAACAAUAUAUUUUUACCUUUAAAAUACCUAUUUGAUUUGCCUAUAAAACUCAUUAUUUUCUUGUCUUCCUAAAUGGUAUUGAACACAGGUUUUUGAAACUGGACCUGAUUCAGGUCAUAGUUGAAAAUUUGUUUAAAGUCUUUUUUCUCUCAAUUCUGUGUUUGAAUUUAUGUAAAUGACAAAACCAAGCCAUCAGUUUGUAACUUUAUGAUCAAAAGUACUGCUUUUUCUCUGCUUAUUUUUCUUACUUUUCUGUUCAGAUCUUUGUUCAGUAACUCAUGCCAGUUCUCAGUAUAUUGGAGCAGAAGUACUCCAAUUAAAUAAGGCACUUUUCUACAACCAUGCCUCAAAAAUCUGUGCUGGUGAGUUCAAGUGGGGGUAAACUGGGCAUUGUACAGCAAGGACAGGCAUGCUCUCAGCUGUGCACAGAGACAUGGAACUUGUUCAGUGCGGAAAAGCAGGUAGUUUAGCAUAUACAUAGGUUGAUACACUUAAUACAAGGCCUGCUAUAUACUGCCUCUGAGCUGCUUUGAAAUCUGGGGCUCACAGGCUUAUGCUAGCAAUGCAUCUAAUAUAUGUGCAAACAUAAAAGUAGUCUUUCCCUCCCUUUCUUCUCAACUUAGAGGAAUAUUCUAAUUAGUUAUUGCAGGCAGGAGAAGAAAGGGAAGAAAUUUGGAACAAGGGAAAUAUGUGACUGUUGACUUUGCAGUAGCCCUGUCAAAAAAAUGUAUUCUACUUUUAAUACAUACCAUUUGGAAGCAAAGCCCCUUUUAAAAUGCUUCAGAACUCAUGUCCUUUUUAAUUGCCUGGAAUUCAUGAUGGCUGUGUGAGAAAGCCAUAAACAUAUACAAUCAUAAAAACACAUUUAGACAACCCAAACAGAAUCAGUGCCAUAUUAUUUUAGUUUAUUAUUCCUAGUGGAGUACAGAUUGGUCUUCCUACUUUGAUAUUUAUUUAUACCAAAGAACUACAAGAACAUAAAUGCCACUCUUGGGAUAAUCCUAAUGCUGGGGCUGAACAGAACACACAUUGCAUCUGUCUCAUUUGCAGUAAAGUGAAGGCGUGUUUAGGUGUAGUCCUGAUAAUGAAGGACAAAGUUGAAGGUCAAAUGUAGUCUUCAAAAUGAAUGUGUCAUCAUGAAACUGAGAGAACUGCAUUAAGAAGUUUUCUUAAAAUAUCAAAUAAUGAAGAAAGGGAAAGGAAGAUGUAUCUCUUUGGUUUUAUUAUUCCUUUUUCUUUGAAGCCACUUAAGGAUUCUGCUCAAGACUUUAGUGCUCAUAUGAAAAAUUAAUGAUGGGUUUUUGCUAGACAGAAAGCCUUCUUAUUUUGCACAUGAUUAACAAAGAAAACUCAAUGCACAAGUGAGAUACGCAGCAGGGGGUGGUUCUCUCGAAGGCCAGCUCACAGCUUCACACCAGAACAUUUAUUGACAUGGGAAAAUACCCACUUUUAUCCAAAGACAGUUAAACAGAUAGGAUAUGUGCAGGGCUGUACAUAAGAAUAACAAGGAACAGAUACUCAACAAAGGAAAAUGUCAACCAAAAUAAACAAACAGCCUAGCAGCAGGCUGACCCUGCACCAUGCCUGUGGGCUGUUUGGAGUCUACUGCAGAGCCAAGUGCAAUGUUAGUGUUUGCUAGUUAUUGUCAGGAAGUAGGUUAUCAGCUGAAAGGCUGGAGGGUGGCUUCAGACACUCUUCCCAUAGCAGAAGAAAAGCCAAGGCCAUGUAGGCAGAAUGUAUAAGCCAGAUCUCCACCCUAUUCACGUGCUCCUUUGGUUUGAUGUUCCUCACCUACAAAGAUGUCCUUUGAGAGGAGCUAGGGUACUUUUCUCACAGGUCUUUUCCCAUAUGUAAUAUCACAGCAUAAGGCCGUGUGAGCUUGUCCAACUCUAAGCAGCCUGGUUCCUGUGUAUUCCUUUCAAAUUUUAAACCUUCUUGUUUUUGUCUAGUCAGCUAACUUGGAGUAUCUUCUGGGGAUUCAGAAGGGCCAUCAGCUACCAGCACUCACAGGAAGGAAACCAGCCAAACAAGAUAUAAUUUUUACAAGUUUUAAUGGAAGUGCAGUGAGCUUUAUUCCUUUUAUUCAUUAGUUGUGUAUAUUUAUGAUCUGUUCCCUAGUAAAGGAGGACUUUAUAAAUAUUUGUUAAAUACAUUGAUGCACUACAAAGAGUUGAUUGGGGUUACAAAACUCAGGUCAGACUUAGAGUUUCAGAUGUCAAACAGGAAUAAAACAGAUCACCCUGGGUGAACUGGUCCAGAAAGCUUUUUUUUUCCUUUUCUUGUUAUGCAGACCAAUGGAAAAUGAUCCCCUAAAAUACUGCCAUCAUGACCUACAAGCUAUGUUUAUCUGCAGGCUCAAAAAGAAAUUGUUAGCUUUGAAAGUACUAUGUAUAAUUAUAUAUGAAAGGUGCCAAAUUAGUGUCAAAUGAACAAAAGUGACGUUCCAGAAAGCUGAUUUCAUUAAAGCUUCAUUCCUUGUAGCAAUAAGGAAAGUUUCCCAUGCUAUUUGUAGUGCCUCUUGCUUCUGAGGAAAGGAGAUGUGGUGAAUGUUAAAGCUGCUAAGAACUUCAGAAGGAGGCAAGGUAGUGUUUAUUUUGAAUAAUAAGUUGUUAUCUCAGAAUGAUAGAGAAUGAGUUAUAUUAGAUUUAAAAAGGCAUUAAGCUUCAAAUAGAGCACCUGAUAGCAGCACUUAUGAGCUUUUCCAAAAGGCUGCAUGUUUUGUCUAAUUUAGUUAUAAUUUGUUUGUGUGAGCAGUGGAAUUAUCAACAGUGGUGGCACUGAAGUGCAGUGAGUGGUGUACAGCUACAGACCCAGAGUGGCUGAAUGACUGAAGUGACCAACUGCCAUUUUCACAACAGUUAUGUGGCUUUCUUUCUUGUGGAUUUUUAGAUCAGAUCCCUGCAGGAACAGAAUGAGUGGAGUUUUUAUUUUGUUAUUAUGAAUGUUUUGAUAUUGCAGUAAUGAUUUUUUGAUAUGUGAUAAUAAAACCUUGAGAUUAUAGUAGUGGAAGCCUUGGAGUAGCUUUCAUAAUCUAUCGAUUUUGUGUUUCAUAGUGGUGAUUUUUUUUUCUUUGUCACCAUCAGUUGUUUGGUUUCUUUAUUUUUGUGGAUAUUCUCUCUGUGUUUUUGUCUAGCAGCAAGUGCUGCUACUUACAAAGGAUAUACAGAUGUUUACAUUACCCUAUCAAUUGCUACUAAACAAAUGCAGAGCAGCACAGCCCGAGUUUCAUACUACAUCAUCAUAUUGAGUGGGAGCUUUGCUUCAGAAAAAAGAAAGAAAAAAAAAGGCUCAGACCCUAUCUGAGAGCAGGUGGGGUGUUUUUGAUUGGUGAGAUUAUAUUACAGUCUGUAACUCAAGAUUUAGGCAAACAGUAUGUUUAAAGAAUUAAUAUAAUUCGUACUGCUCAAUUGUAAAAUCUCAACAACAGAAAUUGUGUUGCUGAACAUCCUGAAGAUGACAUAAUUGUAACUACAGCUGCAAAGUGCAGAACCAGAGGCUUGCCUACAAGAGCUGUGCCCUGUGCUCCUUGGAGCCUCUUGCUGAUGGAUGCCACCAGGCAUCCCUAAUGCACCCUCACCAGCUAAGAUGCAGUUGCUGCACUGGCUUGUCCAAACAGCCUUGUGCUGAUGAGCAGCAAUAGUGGAGUGUUGGUUUGUCCUUUGGCUGCUGCUGAAUGCUCAGUAACAGUGGGGAUUUGUGUCUCCUUCCUCUCUGUCACUGAAGGGAGCAAUGCAAAUAACUUGUGAGAGAAAAGCAAUAUUAUGUUUAUUGUUGCAAGAUACCUGUUUAACAGAAUAGUAAUCAUAAAUAUGACACUGACAAGAUGGCAGGGUUCACACGAAACCAACUGUAUCUGGGGGUUAAGUUAGUUGCACACCUAAGGAUUUCCCCCUAUUAGAUUGCAGUACUCAUUGCAGUUAUGUUGGCUGUCAGCAGAUGAUUCUGAAACUUCAAGGAAUCUUCCCUGAGAAGGCUCAGGGGGAGCUCCCAAGCCACAGCCUGCUGUGGUCCCAGAGAGCUCCAAGAGGUCUUGCUUAGAGUCACUAUUUAUAGGAUCAUGAGAUGAUUGACUUUUAGAGAGUAGUUUUUCAUUAUUUUGGUCCUUUUUGAUUUUUGGCUAUGACAUAGCCAAAUGUCUUAGCACGUAAUUGCGCCUUCAUCAAUUAGCCACGUCACCAGAGCUCUGGAUAUGGUUGGGCGAGGUCUGAUCAUCCCAUGCCCGUAGCCUAUAGCUAGCUGGGGGAUGAUGCAGGAUCAGGCUCCAUCAUACUCUGUAGGUAACAGGAAUGAUGCUGUGAUAGCUUGUAGACUUGCUAUAUAGAGAAAAAAGUAAUAGUCUUUUGUGAGAGCUGCUCCACCACACUCAACUCAUGAAUUCUUGCAGGUAUGCAUUUAUUUUUUGAGACAUGCAAUGCUUUUGUAUUUUGGCUGAAAUUUUCUCACACGAUAAAAUGUUUCUUUGAGGCAGUAUGAGAGAAAAACAAGGACAGACAGACAGACAGCAGUGACGUGACCCUCAUUUCCUUAGGAAACCAAGCUAAAAAAAAAACCUAACCCCAGACUCUUUGCUGAGGGCUCCUGCUGUCAUAUACUGUACUGGUUAAACCAACCAGGAGAGGAGGCUGGCAUCAGGAUCCCUCCCCCAGAUCAGGCCUAGAACAGAGAGCAGAGAAGAUUUCGAUUUCUGUUAUGUGCAGCAGCAGGGAGGUACAGGUGUGGAGCGAGCACGGAAGACGAAAGCCAUGCUUCCUCCCAGGGCCAUGCUCACCUACAUGCUGUAGUCACUGAGAGGCAAUUUGUAAACAUUUAGGUGGGUGUUCAGUAUCUGCAUGACGUGACUCUAAAGCUGUAUUGAAGCUCUCCAGUCAAUUCACCAGUGACCUUGAGAGAUCCUACUGUGUGUGCUGGUGAUCGUGUAGUUGAUGUAUUUCCAUACGAGGCACUAAACCCUUCCGUAUUGGAAAAGUCAUUUGGUCUGUUAGAACUUGCAUGAAAAAAUACAAAUAUUUCAUAAGGACAACCUGGCAGAUUAUUCUCAGGCUAUUGAUUCCACAUUUUGUUCUGCUGAAAACCUGCUGCUAAACAGACCUCCCUACUGGAGAGACUGAGCAAAAUGGUCAUUAGAUGGAGAGGCUCUAGGGAUUUAUUGAUUAGACAUGAGAACACUAAUCAUGCAAUAGCAAAGAUCGAGCAUGCUGUUGUGAAGACUAUUUGCAUAAAAAGCUAACAUUUGAGUAUUGGGAAGCUAGAUGCUGUCAGAACAUUAACAUUAGCUGUCCCAGAUCUGGUCAUAUCCCUUGCUACAUCCAGCAGGGCAGCCAGUUCCUCAGGCUUCUCAUUUUCCAGCAUCUAAACAAACAAUAAGUUAGCAAAUAUAUUUGCUGUGCUAGGUAGAUAUUGAAAAUGAAAAUCCUAUCUCCAGCAAACCUACAGGAUAUUGUUUUGCCUCUCAAGCAUACUUGAAAAUAGCAUCAAUUUUGGAUUUUUGAAAUGGCUAACGAUUUCGUAUGACUCUCAUAAUCCAGAACUCAGUUUAAUUAAUUUCAAUCGGUUCUUGUAAUCAAAUUCUUGUAAACUUUCCUUCCUCCUGACAAAAUGCUAAUGUCAUCUUCAAGUAUUCCAAACGCAAAAAUGAGGAGGCCCUUAGAAUGAAGUGCAAAACUUUUCUAUGGUUUAUUCUUUCCCACUUCAGCCCUCUGAUUUUUUUUAAUGCAGUUCAUCAAGGAUACAGACUAAAAACGAGGACAGAAUCUUUCUACACUGUUUAUAGAUAAAUGCCAAAUUUUACACACAUUUAUAUGUGCCAUUUAUAACUCCAAGCUUUAUGACUUAAAAAAACAAACCAUGAAAUUUUAACACUCAUCAUCAAACCAGGCAACACUUGUAAGCUGUGUUUGCCACAAAACUUACCUGUAUGAGAUACUCUGAAGUUUCCACAUAGAUGAUUUCUGUCUUCUGUCAAUGUCAGCUAGUAGGGUUAGUCAUGAAAAACACCCACAAGUGUAUUCAUUGAGGACUUCACUUGAAGAACAGUGUAGAUAACCAGAAAAUAAAAUGUGCUACCAGAGAGGGUGUAGGUCAUCGGGGGGCCCUAACCACGGGCUCUGAGCAGAGCUCUGAAGAGUGUGCAGGUGUUUGUCAGACAGGGAAAAGUCAGUCAGAGAAACAAAUGGAGGAAGGUUGUGUAUUUCAUAUCAUGUGGUCGGCCUUUGAGAGAGGUGCAACCUUCGUGUGCAAUUGUUAAGCACCACUGGUGAAAAUGCAUAGCUAAUGGUGGUGACUAUGUUGAAAAAUGGUGUUUUGUAGCUGAGUCCUACCAAAAAGGGCUAUUGUGCUCUCUGUGUCUGUUGUAAUUUCCAUGGAAAUAAAUGGGAGGCAUUACUUUCGAAGCAACCUCCUCAGAUGCCCUUGUGUAGCCACCUUGCAACCUAAACCUAAAUAUCCACUACCUUUUCUAGAAGCAUCUAGAAGUAGAUGCUGAGAAAAAUAACUUAGUAUUGUUUGUGCUAGGGGCUGGAGUCAAGGAAAAAUCUGGUCUGUAUUUCUGUACACAUUUGGAUGCAAAUGACACCGGCCCAGAAUUGCUGGAGCUUCCUGUGCUGCUAUGCUCUGAGGCAUGUUGGAAACAACCAGUUCUGAAUGAAUGUAUGAAGACACUGCAGUGCCCAUGAUGUAGCUCCUCAAGUGCAAUAUGGCUUUGUUUAUAAAGGUAGAAAUCAAGAUAACCCAGACUGAGCUCUUUAUUAGAUUAGACUCCACAUGACUGUGGUACUUUGUACCUGGAGACUACAAGUCUCAAUUCCUUGCAGAUGGAAUUCAGCAAGGUAUCUUAAGGGCUGGUACCUCCACAAGGUACUUUACCAGGUAGGGUUCUGAAACUCAUCACUCCUUAAACGCCUGCUUGGCCUGCUGAGGGACUGGAGGAUUCAUUCCACAUCUGAUAAGAGGAAUCAAAUUGUCUGUUCAGUGGGAUAAUCUUUCUGUUGUCAGGAUGAAAAAUCUCAGAGGACUCAUGCUCAAUGGUCUUGUAAUUAAAUGUUACACACUUGAUGAGCAUUGCAUUGCAAGCCUCAAGGCUAAUUUACAUGUUACCACCAAAAUGUCUUAUUUCAGUUUGCUUGUAAAAAUACUGUACAGGCAUCGUUGCAUGUCAUUGCAAAUGGUUUGUUUCAGUGAUGCUUGGGUAAGCCUCAGCAUUACUAAAAGCUGUACAUAAUUACUGCUAAAGAGCUCUGUACAGAACCAAUAAUACUUCCCCCACAAUAGCUGUUUUAUUACUGAGAUGGCUUUCCUGAUGUGACCGACAAUGCUAGGAUCAGAAACAAGCAGCCUGCCAGCUAAUAAAGAAUAGCAUUUUGGGGAAACAAAGUAGUUUGAAUCAAUUAUGGUAUUAUGUACAUAAUUAGAGUCUGUGUCACUUUUCCAACAGUUGCCCAUAAUUCACAACAGUAAGGCAGGGUAGGAGGAAGGGGAGAAUAAUGACAGUAGAUAGAAGAAAGUUGUAUGAGUAGCCAUGGGUCUGAUGAUGUUAUAACGUAUUUACUAGCACAUUUACAUGCUUUAUGUUGUAGAAGUUACUCUUAGCGAUUUGGGGCCACGACUCAUGUCAGUGUAUUCGUGAUGGAUGAGUGAUGAGAGAAAAAGCUUCUCGAGCCUCCAGGAUCCAUUUAGCACACGUAGCUUUCUCAGUUCCUUGUUUUGAGAAGGUCAUCCCACAAGUAACAUUUCAACAGAGGCAUAUCAGAUGGACCGAACUGAGGUUUCUUGCCAUUCACAAUUUCUUUAAUACUUAUUCGACUGACUUCAAAGCGAUGCUAAAGCACUGCAACCAUUUAUUGGAAUAUAUUAAUAAUAAUAAAUCAGAAUUUCAUUCACUGAAUUCAAGCUUUUAAGAAAAAAAUAACCUUGUGUAGAAGCAGAAAAAAGGCAGAGAGAUAUUAGAUGACUUACCCAGUUUGCAGCAAUGCGAGUGGGAGAAUAAGAGACAGACACUCUGGCCCCUGUCCUUUCUUCCAAAUCAUGUUUCUUGUGUUUGUGCCACAGUGAAAUGAUUUUGCAUAUGUCCUGUCUUGGAAAUAUGAAAAAUAUAUGCAAUAUGCAAAGCAGCCGAUGGGUCUGCAUUUCACAAUCUAUCAUCAUUUAGGAAGUCUUGAAGCCUAAAGAGAUUGCAUGCAACUAAUUGCACACAGUCCAAGAGACUAGAGCACAUUACUGCCAAUUUGUAAACAAAACCCAGCAUGCAAAAGUGCUUAGGCCAGUGGGGUGAGUUUCCAUCGAUAAAGGACAGGCAGUGUACAAAUGCAACGCAACACAAUUCUUACACUUCAGCCUUUAAGAAUUGUGCUGACCCUCCAACAAAAUGGAGUAAUGCAGAGUCACUGAAUGCAGCUAGGCUUCGCCACUGGUAAAUAUUUUACAUAAUCCAAACGAAGAAAUCCAUGAAAACGCUGAAAGAAUAAUUAAAAGUCAUCCAGUGCAAAAAGUCCUUUAAGAUUUAAAUCCUGGCAAACACAUAAAAAUGGAUUAUGUUGGUAAACUGUGAAUCAUUCCAAACAUGGGACUGCAAAGCAAAACUCCCAUUAUUUCUUGAUCCUGACCAUCAAAUGAUCUUUGUUAUGAAUAUGCUCAUCCUGGUGGCUGGCCAAUACCUGACUUGACUCCUUAUCCAAUGCUGUCUAGCUCCCUUUGUAUCACUGCUGCUUCCAUCCCAUAUCUUACUGUUCCCCUCUGUUAUGUUCAAUAAACAUAAUAUGCUUGGUGCCACUGCUGAUCUGCUGAGCCAGUCAGUGUCCAGCUCAGUGACUCAGACUUGAUCUCAGCUUCAAAAGAAAAAUGACGAUGUCUGUCUUUCUAGAUUUGAACCCCUCCAGUGAGUAGUAUCACAGAUGUGAUAUGGAUGCUCAGUAAUUACUGAAACAGCAGUUUGUCACAAGCUGCUGGGGGCACUGAUAGACUAGUGCUCUGUGGCUAUAGUUAUGGGAAGGAAGAUGUAAGAAAAUAUGGUAAUUGUGACAGGCUCAGCUUAGUGUUGUUUGGGUUUUCUUUUCAGGGAUAAAACGUUCAUGUGGAAGCCACGCAUAUAGAGAGCUAGGUACCUAUUUUAAUCUGUCGUUCUUUCCACCUCUAUGAUAUUUAAUAUACAUGCAAAAAUUAUUCUAAUGUAAAUGAGAAUCUGGGCCAGGCAGUGGCCACAUCUAUGCUAAGCGCAAUUUGUAUCUCUGAAGUUCACAUACAUCAGCAGUUUCCUAAACAAGUAGAUUUGGCUCUUGGGGAAGAACAGAACAGCCUGCAUAUCCCAGCCACCCUCCACACCGGUGCCACUAGGGGGUCCUUAUGAUGCUGAAUAAAUAACAAAUCCCUUCUCCACAGCCGUGAGCUUUGUAGCCGAUCCAGAGCUUACUGCAGCAUGCAGGCACUUCCCUGUGCCCUGUGAACAUGAAAAAAACCACAGAAAUCUAAAACUUCACUCUUUGUGUAAACCAGCUCUGCUUUUUAUUCUUUCUCUCCUCUUAUCUUGUAGUGCAAAUGCAGCUUCAGAAAUGAACAAGAACAUCAAAAUCCACAGAUUGUUAAGUAAAUUCAAGACUGAGAGAGGAUGAAAGGAAAAUAAAAAUGGACCUGGAGCCUGAUAGGCUUUGGAUGAAGCUUUACAGGAGUUGCAAAGGAUGCUGCUGCAAUGGGGACCCAUCUGGGGUCGACAGGCUCAACUUGCUGCACAGCCGAAAAAGCAGUAUUUAGAGGUGGCAAUGCUCUGCGUGGCUCAAGCAUUAUUAAUAGCACUUUGUUUCAUAGCUUCAUAGUAUUUAAACCAUACUGUUCCCAUUACUGAAGACAUUUUGUUUUCUGAGAUCUAUCUGUCUCCCCCAAAGUAAAACAUUAUAUUUCCAUCCAGCAUUUUUUUUCUAAGUUGCACUUGACUAGUAAUAGGUUUCCUUGAAAAGCCAUCAGUGAAUUUAUGGCACAAAGAGCUACGUCUCUCCAGCCUUUAUUAAUUCAGACAUACAAAAUCUAAGCAUCUACAUGUUGCGGUUGUUGUUUGUUGCGCUGCUGCAAACUGAUAGCAUUUCACCAGAAAAGCUCUCGUGUCUGCAGCUAUCCUAUUUUCUCUCGUGUCACUCAAGCGAACCGCCUUGCAGCUCACCCGCACCGAGGUCGGAGCAGAGCCGCAGGAGCCUGCAGAACCCACAGGGGGCUGUCGUGCCAGGCACCCGCUCAGCCCCCGGGACCUGUGGGUGAGGAUGCGAGCAGAGCUUCCCAGCACUGCUGGGAGCCAAACGGGCUUUUGCCUGAGUGAGUUCUGGGGGAUGGGGCAUUCGUUCAGAGGCACAAACUCCUUCAAUACUGGAUGUGCUCAGAAGAUGGAAAUUAGCAAUAUUACAAAUUCAGAAAGCAGCAGACGAGCUUGUAACGUAGCGAAUAGGAGCUCACCCCUCUUUUUGAGCAGCUGCUCCCAACGCAACAAGCCCUCUGACCAGUGCCACUGUAGCCUUUGACCUUAUUCAUUAGAGAUAUUCUGAUGUACUGUGAGCAGUAUGGAACAAUGUUCAUAUGUUCGUUUAUGGGUUAACCCUAUCCUUAUUAGAUUUGUACUUUCCAACCUGAAGUUAUGAAAGUUUGGCCGGCACGCUGGGUUUUGCCCUCCCUUUCUGCUCUCUCAGCCACUGAAGUAAUCUCAAGCUAUCCUUUUCAACUGAACUUUUUUAAGUGUUGCUUUUAUCUCUAGUUGCCAGUGUCUUUAAGAACUUAACCCCUAUAUCUCUUACAGCCAGCUCUAGCUUCUGGAAAGCAAGAAGACUUCUACUUCCUGCACCUGUUGCCAGAUUCACUGUGGUUUCCCAGCACUGAAGAACCAGUGUGUACUGAGCAAUACUGAUGCUAUACUGGGUUACCAAGGGGUAUGAAGAUGUGAUUAGUCAAUGUCACAAAGAUUUUGGAGAGCAAAACAGAGGAGGAGGAAAGAGUAAUACUUCCUUUAGCCUUCAUCUUCUGCCUUCCCGUGACAUCUGUCCUGCACGAUUUGCGGGCAGUCACAGUGUGCACUUCCUUCUCCUGCAGAGGCUCUGCUUCUUUUGGAAAAGGCUUCCACAAGGAUACCAGCAGCAUUAAAAUCUCACUUGGUCCACUUGUAUUUUUUUACCAGCCCUGUUUGAUUGCCCUAGAAAAACAGGGAAGAAUAUUUUCCUUGCUCUCAAGAGUAAAGUCCUCCAUUAUCACGUCAUGAAGGGAAACGGACUGUUUGGUAGCUAAGGAAAAAUGCUGACUUUAAACCUGAGAUAAGGUUCUAUCAUUUACACUAAUGAGCUCACUGGUGGCAAAUCUGUAAGAUUUUAUGAUAAAAAGUAGCUGUAAGUCAGUAUUUGAUGGAAUUUUCUAUUUCUUCUUUUUUUUUUUUUUGCUGAAAAUACAUCUAACUACUAAUAAUUUUCCCAUCCAAAUCCGGGGAGGAAUAAAUGCAGUGAGAAUCAUCCCAGACUGAGUUCAAAGAUUUGGUAAGUAACCCAUUAUUUCAGAGAGUUAUUCUCUAACUUAUUAUUGAUUUAUUAACCUAUUUAUUGAUCUAAAUUCUGCUGGGAAGGCUGUGAACACAUUUGACUAGUUGACUAAUGAUUGAGUUACUCAGAAGGAGGGGAUCUUAAUGAAAUAUUAAUAUUAGGAUUUUAAUUGCUGAUGACUUAUGGUUAACAGUUGAGCCUCCAGAUCUGAUAGUCACAUCAUGCCAGAUUUUGAUUUCUGAUGGAAACAUACUCUGAGGCCAUAUAUCCAAUAAGUGCUAUGAAAAAGGUAUCUAAUACCCUUUGCUGGUAUAUUCUGCCUGAGCACUGACAAACACUAAUGAAAUCUAGUUACUGUAGGUUACAAAGACCGAGACUGUUCUGUUCAGAACCAGAAUGGGCAAAUCCAGCUGGGGAGACCAACCCUGCUAUGAAACUGGUGUAAGUGGAUGCAAGCAAUAGGGUGACAGUAAGCAGAGGAAAAAGAGAUGUCUUCAGUUGAAGGGCUGGAAAACUCUCACAGUUUGGCUUCCAUUGUGAGACAUGAAUGAAAUUCUGGCGAUUUUUCUCUCUCCCCUCUGAUUUUUUUCCAGCCUACCUCCUGAGUUUGAGAUGUUUAGACUUCAUGGCAUCCCUGGUUCAAUGCCUGGAAAAGCUGGCCAGAGUUGCAGUACAAUGCAGAGACUUCCUUGCAUGACCACUUUCCCCUUGUGCAGUCUAGCUUCCCUCCAUGCUAUGCCCAUCACUUUGUACCGAGUACAGAUGAAAUGCUGAAGUGUUGCAACUUUUCUGUGAGAGGAGCAGCCGCUAGAGGGGAGGAUGUACACUGUGAAGUCCCCAUCAGUACCCUGUCACUGAGGCUUCCUCAGAAUUUUUUGCACCUGAAAGAAAACCUGCUGGUAUCCUAUCUGGGUGACUUUCAUGGCAUCAGUAAAUACCAAAGAGACCUGCCCCUAAAGAAGAUGCUCUCUCAAGGUAAGACUGAAAUCCAAAUUACUUUAAAAUAGGAAAGAAAGAAAAGCUUGGCAAUGCUAUGGAUACAUGGACAAUUACAGCUAUAUAAACCAGAUUGUUUAAUGAUUGUCUCAAGGAUAGUUUUUUCAAGUAUCUUUUACACUGAGCUAAUAUUUUUCUCACUUUUAACUUUAUCCAAUGUAAUGUGUAAAUGGGAGAUUAGAAGUCGAAGACUGUAUUGCAGGCACCCAAUGAAAAGCAGCAGAUGACACUGCCCACAUUGUCUUAAUAAAUUUGUUCUUCAGAAGGUGCAGAACCCAAUAGCCAUGCAGUCCAGUGAUCCUUCGAGGUCAACAGUUUUAUAUUCAUUUACUGCUGCAGUCCCCACUUUGGUAAAGAUCAUCUAUCAGUUUCCCUGUUAUCCUCCUGCUUACAGCUACCUGUUAAGAUCAAAAAUGCUCAUUUCUGAGAUUGAGAUUUGCCACAAUUGCAACUGGAAAACACGAUUUUUUAUUUAAACAUUUUAUCACAAUCUUUGUGGACGUUUUAAAAUACAUCAAAAUACUGGGAAAACACUAAGGUUAUUUUGUUUGAUAGUCUCUGGGCAGAAGUAAGACCUGAAAGCAGAAAGUCAGAACUAUUUUUCAAUAGGAAGCAGGGCAUGAUUAAACUCGGGAACCAACCUGGUUUAAUUGGACCAAAUACAAUUACAGAAUGUUUGGAUAUGAAUAUAUGCAACUGUCUGUCUGGCAGUUAUUCUUGGGUGCACACCUCGGAAAGCUUAUGCACUCUUCAGCUGUUCAUGUUACUGGCUGGGUUUUACCCUCUGUGCCUGCUUUCUCCUACAAGAAGUAACCACAGGAGAAUUCCCUUGGCCCAGUGCUGUUCCCCACUGGCAUCUGAAGCAGCCUGCCUGUGCCAUUCUGUCUUUGCUCUGCUGUGCAAAACCUGUGCUGGCAGGCGCACAGUGCAGCAAGUCUGCAGCCAUUCUUAUUCCAUAGGGAGUGGGCUGACAGAUCGCUGCUGCUGGUUGGGACCCCAACAGCUUAUUUGUUCCUGCUGUGCGCUCUCACUGGACUCGACCUACUCUCUGAGAUACCUUAAUUGCUUGCUGUGGAAGCUGAAGGUGACACUGUAAGCAAAUCACCAUAAACACAUGCAAAUCUCUCUUACAACUGCAAAUCAAACAGUUGAAGUAGUGCACAGUAUAGGUCAGCAAGAGCUCUUUUGCUGUAAAUCUCAUUUUCACACAUCUUCAGACUUUGUACAAGAUCCCAGCAAAUGCUAGGGAAGAGGGGUAUCUGAGGUUUAUAAGGGCAAAUAUGAAUCCCUGAAUUGCCUUUCUGUGGUUCAACUAAUAUGGCAGAGAACAAACUGCAUUUUCAGAACUGUGAACAAACCACAUUUCAUAUAAGUUAUCUGCUUACAGGCCAGACCUUGUAUUUAUAACUUAAGAAGGAUUAAAUCAAAAGGCAAGCAGUCCGUGAAAGGGUGGUUUUAUACACAGCCAGCUAAACUCUUGAUAAAUCGUUCUCUUGAAGGAAAAAAUAAAGGCUUCCAAUAGAUUCUUCUGUACUUGUUUUCAGAGAAGCUUAUGGUGUCUCUCCUUAGAGGCUUUCUUUAUGAGGAAAGCUAGUUAAAUGCCUAGUGAGACUGAGUUUCCAAGGGUGAUCUCCCUAGAACAGGAUUAGGGUUCACUGACAACGUAAUGCAGGGCAGGUAAUGCUGCUGUUGCUCAUGGCUUAAACUGCUUUAUGGCUAAAUCAUAUUUCAGUUUCUAGAGGUAUCAGUUUGGUACCUCUGAGCUUUCAACUUGCUUCUGUAAGGUAAAAAAACAAACAGGUUUUUUGGUCUUCCCGUAUUUUUUUCUGGACUAAAACAAGCAGCUCUCUCACUGCCUGAGCAGGACAGUAACCAGUCCUGAAAUGGAUCAUCAGAAAUUUAUGAGGAUCACUCAAUUAUUUUUUUUCCCUCCAGAUUAUUUCCAAGUUGGUGCUUUUCUUCAAGCACAGGUGAAGCAUUAGGGGAGUUUUACAGACUGACAGUCCAUUCUGAAUCUGUAAACCAGAGCAGCCAAGCAGCCACAAAGGCAGCUCAGGGCUAGUUAGCACGAGGUGAAUGGUUCACACGUUUUCUCCACAUCCACAGAAAUGGUUUUGAAAACAAAGCCAGAAAAAACCACUAUAGUUUCAGUCUAAUACCAAUAACAAAUACUAUAGUUUGUUAAUACAUUGAUACUCUUGCCAUUGUAUCUGAACAACAAUUGCCCUAUUCUAUCUCAGCGACAUUGAUUAACAAAACAGUUUGUAAUUAGAUGGAGUCGUGUAAUUCAUGGCCCUCUGUAAACAUCUGGAUUUGCAAAUCUGCACUCCUAGCUUGGGAGCUCUGUCACACAUCACUAAUUAAGCCACAUUCUUAUAUACCAGUACAUACAUCCUCCUGCUGAGCAUCCUUUCUUUGUUCCCAGUACAAAUAACAGCCUGUUGUCAAUACAGAGAAAACCAUCAUAACUGCCUAGCUCAGCGUGUGACAUUUAUUGAAAAUGAAAUAACAUCUCAUUUGCAUGACUGGCAUUACUUUAUUAAAGCCAGAGCUGCAGAAGCUGGGUGCUACAGUGCAAGUCAAGUGUGCAAGGCUGACAGUCCGUAAGUGCAUAGGAACGAUGGUGUCCAGCACAGGGAGGUUGGCACUCCCCCCUGCCUGUCUGCCCACCUCCUGUUUGUAGGGUAGGGCUUCUAGCAAAUCGACAGACCUAUUCCUUUUCCCAGCCCCCCCCCCCCCCCCCUCCCAGUCCUUGUUCUCCCUGUUACCUCCAUCCCACGGAGCUGGGAACCAGAGCCCCCCUUGCUUCUCCCAGAGGAGUUCCCCAGAAUCAUCAUGGGCUGGGAUCAUCAGCUCCAGCUGAGGAGGAACCCAUCAGAAGUGCUACAGGAAGCAGCGCAGUAGCACAGGAGCUGUGUCUGUUGUGCAGGGGAAGUGCCUUAAAAGAGGAAUAUUUUUUCAGUGUCAGAAGAACGCAGCUGAGCACUCAGAACUUUGAACAGACAAAGUUGUGCUCCUUCAGUCUGCAUUUCCCUCUGCCAUUUCACCAGCAUUGAUAAGGAAGCAAAAUCCUUAUUGUGGCCGAUUCUGAUCUGCUUUAACCCCUUAGACAUAUUUAGAAAUAACGAGUUUAUGUGAAGAAACUUUCUGAUUCUGACCUUGGCGCCCAGUUCGGCAGCGAUACAGCAGAGAGGAGAAGCUGCCAGCGGGACGGCUCCUGGCAGCAUGUGGGCGGCUCCUCCCCCUCCUUUUCUUUUCACACUUCUCAGCGGAGUUUUUCUUUCUGCUAUCUCCGAUGCCGCUCCGCCCGUCUUCCUUCCCCCGUCUCCUUGCCGCAGUCGCGCUGCCCCCGGCCGCCUCGGUGCUGCUGCCCGUCCCGCAGCGGUACCCGACUCCCGCACGGUCCGAGGCCAUCGGCUACGCGCAACCCGACCCCCGUGCCGCCCCAGCUUUGAACGAUAUUUAACUUCCAGAGAGGAUGCUACCAACUCCAGCUGAUUUUAAUUUCUGCAUACAAGUUUACUUAUGCACGCUUCUGUCACUUAGAAAAGUUUUGUCGCAGCGCUCAUAGUUCACAGUGAAUCCCUUCUGCUCCGGUCCGGAUUUGGCGGCACCUCCGGCACGGACGCGGCGCGGGGUCCGUCGGGCCGGGAGCGCCUCUCCGCAACCAGAAGGGCGGCGGGGCCGGACCGGCGCCAGGAGCUCCCUGGCAGCGGGGCGCCGUGCUGCUCCAAGAGGGCUCUGUGAGCGAGGAAAGUUUCUUGCUUACGGCCGGGACCGCGCCUCUCGCUCGAGCCCCUCCGCUCCUGCGGAACGAGACGGCGCGGUCAGGACGUCGGCCCGUAACGCGGGCGGGGCCGGCUGCAGGGAUCGCCGCGCGCCCCGACGGUGCUGCUUGGAGGCGGCGGGAGGCCCCCACC
ensembl:lncRNA